CAAGUAGCUGGGACUACAGACAUGUGCCACCAUGUCCAGUGCAAGGAUUACAGGUAUGAGCCACCAUGCCUGGCCCCUACCCUGCCUACUGAGAACCAAAGGAAGGAUCCAAAUUCUCCUUAGCUCAACUCGAGCCAUUUCCUGAUUGCUUCAUCAGCGAGGAGCUGGUUAUUGGGCUGUCCAGGCCUCCCAAGCAGCACAGAAAUGAGAAACAGGACCUUGCCCUGUCACUCAGGAUGGAGUUCAGUG
rnacentral:lncRNA from 1 species